ensembl:snRNA U6 U6 spliceosomal RNA
GUGCUUGCUUCAGCAGCAUAUAUACUAAAAUUGGAAUGAUGUAGAGAAGAUUAGCAUGGCCCCUGUGCAAAGAUGACACACAAAUUCGUGAAGCAUUCCAUAUUUUU